GCGCAGCUUGGUAGCGCACUUGGUUUGGGUCCAAGGGGUCGCAGGUUCAAAUCCUGCAUCGCCGACCA
rnacentral:tRNA from 1 species